GGUACUUGAAUGGAGGUUGUCCAUGGUGUGUUCAUUUUAUUUAUGAUGAGUAUUACAUGGCCAAUCUCCGUUCAGUACU
rnacentral:pre_miRNA from 1 species